CAGGACACCCAGUUAAAUACUAACAUAAGAAACAAAUAAUUUUUUAAUGUAAGUAUGCCCCAUGCAAAAUUUAGGACAUACUUAUACUAAAAAAUAUUCAUUGUUUUUCUGAAAUUCAGAUUUAACUAGGCAUCUUGU
rnacentral:pre_miRNA from 14 species